rnacentral:lncRNA from 10 species
UGGUCUGUGGCAGCUCCCAUAAUUCUCAGGUAUCCGUGAUUCAGUUAUUGGUGGCAGACUCCUCAGCAAACUGUCCUGCUACACUGUGGGAGUGGGUUCUUCCUGUCUCUUGCUCCCACAUAAAAUGUGUUGUUCCCCAUUUCCAGAUGGCAGCUAGGUGCUUUAACUUAAAGCAAAAAAAAAUAUUUUUUCUGUGCUUCAGGAGAGCAAAGCUGAAAGUGGUAGAAAAAAACAUCAGCAGCUGAAAAGAAUAUUUAAAUAUUAUUUAAAUAUUUAUUCUACUAGAUAACUUAAGUAAAAUUUAAAUGAUCCCUACUAGAUAAUUUAAAUAAAAUUUAAAAUAAAAUUUAAUAAAAUUUUAAAUGUUAAAAUUUAUUUUUAUUUUUAUUAUUAUUUUUUGAGACAGACUCCCACUCUGUUGCCCAGGCUGAAGUGCAGUGGCUUGAUCUCAGUUCACUGUAACCUCUGCCUCCCAGGUUCAGGUGAUUCUCCUGUCUCAACCUUCCGAGUAGCUGGGACUACAGGCAUGAGCCACCAUGCCUGGCUAAUUUUUGUAUUUUUAGUAGAGAUGGUGUUUCACAUGUUGGCCAGGCUAAUCUCGAACUCCUGAACUUGGGUGAACCACCCGCCUUGGCCUCCCAAAAUGCUGGGAUUAUAGGCAUGAGCCACUGUGCCCUGCCAAAAAUAAAACAAAAUUUUAAAUGCUUGUGAUCCUAUGAUAUCAGUCUUUUCAGUUUCCUCUUUCUCUGAAAGUGGGUAAGCUUUAUUGUGAUUAUUACCUAUGAACUUUGUUCCUCCCUUUAGGAAAGUGAGAUUUGACUUUGAUUGAAUGAAAAAUAUUUAAUGCUAGUAAUCUGAAAAGAGGAAAUAUACUCAUUUUUCCUCUCACAUUUGAAUUGGGAUGAAUUUUAUAUCUAGAAUCUAUUCCACCUUCUAGUUUACUUCACUUUACCAUACAUCAUUUUGAAAUAUAAUCUGAUCUGAAACGAACAAUAUUCCAGAGUAAUUCAUACUGUAUGUCUGUGAUUCUAUGUAGAAGUAUGUCGUAAAUUCACUCUUAGAUGAUGCUAAGAAAAUAUAGUCCUGAAGUUUGUGCUCGUAUUCUUGUGAAAUCUAGAAAUAUAUUUCCAAUGCUAAUUUAGUUACAUGGUUAUAAGUAGUAUAAUCUUAAAUUUAGGAGAAUUUUUAUAGCUUUCUAAUCAAAUUCAAGAUUCGUAUAUAUAUGUGGGGUGCAACACUUUGAGAUUUUCAUUUUUUGUGUAUCAUUUAGUACACUAAGGUUAUGCAUGUUUGAGUUAGUGGCAGUUCUAAAAAUUAUCUGAGGAUUUUGAAUAUGUACUACAAUUUUUGAUCACCCAAAUCCAUUCUUUUUUGUUGAUAGCAAUGGGGGAUUUGAAUGUCUUGGAUUUGGGACAUUCACAGUUUCCAUAUAUUACUGUAAAGCGUAGGUAAGGUAGAGACCGACUUUCUGGCAUCCCAUGGAUAUUUGGAAGGGUUUGAACACAAAGGUACCACAAAUACCAAUGGUAUUAAAGGAAUAGCCUUGGGGCACCAAGAAGUACAGUUUAGGAAGCAGGGAGUGAGUAGUACAGUGAAAUGAUUUAAUUCCAUGGUCAGCAUCUUUUACUACUACUUAUACUGAGGAACUCGUCUCUGCUUAGUUGCCACUCAGUGGCUGAACCAUUGUGGAUGGUUUUGUACCCAUUAUCACCAUGGCCCUAGGACUCUCUUUUUUUCAGAAUGUGGAUCUAUGUCACACCAAUAUGGACCUAUGUCAAACAUUCUUAUGGAAGUGGAAGGAGUGCAAGAAAAGGAGGAGACCAUUUAGGAUUUGAGAAGGGAGAUGCCUUUAUUCUUAAACCUUAGGGAACCAGCCAGCUUCUGAAAUUUGACACUGCUAAUUAAAUAGUUUUCAUUGUAUAUGCAUCUGAAGCUCUAUAAUUGGCUAUCUCAAGAAAAAAAUUUUAAAGUAUUUAUAUUCAAAAUAAAACUGGAAAAUCUGGGAGAUUUGGGGUAAUACCCCCUGUUCAUAUACAAUUUGAUAUUUCAUUUGUAUUUAAAUAUAUUAUUUUUCAGUUGUGUAUAUGAUAUAUAUUUCCUUCUUUUCCCUUUGCCCUUUGUGAUCUGCUUAUGUAUUUACACUACUGCUUCAUGGAAAAAAAUUAAAUUUCAUGGAGUUCUCUUCAAGGGGAGAAUUUUAUUUUUAUUUUUUUGCUUUAGUUAGCUAAGUAGAUGCAUGCUUUGCUAAAUGGAAAUGUAAGAAUAAUUGUGUUUUUAUUUGGGGAUGUGGAUGAAGAUGAAAGAAGAAAACAAGCAAAAUAUAUUUAGUGAGUGGGAAAAUAAAAGCAGAACAGUUUCUGAUGGUAGAAGAAGAGGCUGCUGUGUUAAUGCUGGACUGUAUUGCCACUAAACAAGCAGUUUGAAGGCUGUGAUCGCUUGUAUUCACUUUGUAACUCGGGUACUGUUUGUGGAGCACUUCUGUGAUCUUAGGUUAUUAUGAAGUGUUUUCUGCCAAAGACUAUAUAUAACCCCUUCAAAAGUACCAUAUCUGAUUGUGGGGGAAAAUAUUUCAUCCAAAAUUAAACUGAUGGUUGUGCUGAU